UAUGACAGAACAAUUUAGAGAUGUACAUGUGUUGUCUGUUUAUCGUAUCUUGAAAAACCCAUGUCCCUAAAUUGUGGCUCUGUCUGCUGCCUUCAAUACAUUAGCUCAAUUUUCAAGGAACCUGAUGGGGGAGGUUCAUUGUGGCUCUUCUGCUCUGUGGUCACUCUGAAGAAUGCCAUCAGGCCCAAUUACCAGCUGGGGAAGACAGUUUCCAAAUAAAGGAAGUAGAGCCCCAGCUGAGAGCUAUCCUACUCCUGAAUCAAAGGAUGCUGAUGUUCCAAGUGCAUGCGAUCUUUGAUGGUGACACAGGAACAAUCAAUUUCUAAUUUUUGAUGACCAGAGUUAUGUUUGUUGGAGACAUUUCUAAAAGAAUCACAGAGAAUACGCUGAGAGAUUCAAACACAUAAUCUGUAUCCUGGCUCCCCUCAGUUCACCUCUGGCCACCAUUACUGGGAGGCAGAUGUAGGGGCAAGCAAAGAAUGGGAUCUGGGAGUUUGCUAACAAUCUGUUAAUUAUACUAACAAGGGGCAAUUCCACUGUCUUCAGAACUUGGCUUCCAGGCUCUAGGUUUGCGAAAAGAGCUCCUCUCAGGCAGUACACUGUGCCUUUACCCUCUAGAUAUGCCCCCGCAGCUAUACCAUGUAGAAAUUUUCCUGGAUGUGGACUUUUGGAAUCACUUCCUUUUAUAACAUCAGCGAUGGACCCCGUAUCUUUACCAUUCACUGAAGUUUCUGCUACAGAGCCACAGAAAUUGCUCCUGUGAAUGCAAUUAAUGAUGUUCAGGCUUCCUGAGUAUUUGUCCUGUGAAUAAUCUGGGCACUGCCAGUUCUCCAGUUUAUUCUGAGCCAAGGCAAAUAA
rnacentral:lncRNA from 1 species